UGGUUCUGGCAUCGAUGAAGAACGCAGCGAAAUGCGAUAAGUAAUGUGAAUUGCAGAAUUCAGUGAAUCAUCGAAUCUUUGAACGCACAUUGCGCCCCUUGGUAUUCCGGGGGGCAUGCCCGUUCGAGCGUCAUUUCACCACUCCAGCCCGGCUGGGUGUUGGGCCCCGGGGGUGACCCGGGCCCCAAAGUCGUCGGCCGUGACGGCCCCGAAACGCAGCGUCGUGAAUCAAUCAAAUCGCUGGCGGAGAGGGGUGUCCCGCGCCGGAACACUUUCAUUCAGGUUGACCUCGGAUCGGGUAGGGAUACCCGCUGA
rnacentral:misc_RNA from 1 species